rnacentral:rRNA from 1 species
GACGAACGCUGGCGGCGUGCUUAACACAUGCAAGUCGAACGGAAAGGCCCUGCUUGCAGGGUACUCGAGUGGCGAAAGGGUGAGUAACACGUGGGUGAUCUGCCCUGCACUUCGGGAUAAGCCUGGGGAACAGGGUGGAAUACCGGAGAGAGGCCAUUCUGAUGGUUGGGGGGGGUAGGUUUUUUGCGGGUAGGGUGAGCCUGCGGCCUAUCAGCUUGUUGGUGGGGUAGUGGCCUACCCAGGAGGGGGCGGGUAGGCGGCCGGGGGGGGUGGACGGCCAACUUGGGACUUAGAUUCGGCCCAGACUCCUACGGGAGGCAGCAGUGGGGAAUUUUGCCCAAUGGGCGCAAGCCUGAUGCAGGGACGCCGCGGUGGGGAUGACGGCCUUCGGGUUGUAAACUCCUUUCGCCAUGGACGAAGCUUUUUGUGACGGUACCUAGAUAAGAAGCACCGGCUAACUACGUG